GACGAACGCUGGCGGCGUGCUUAACACAUGCAAGUCGAACGGAAAGGCCCUGCUUUUGCGGCGUGCUCGAGUGGCGAACGGGUGAGUAACACGCGAGUAUCCUGCCCUUGACUUUGGGAUAACUUCAGGAAACUGGGGCUAUUACCGGAUAGGAGCUCUUGCUGCAUGGUGGGGGUUGGAAAGUUUCGGCGGUGGGGGAUGGACUCGCGGCUUAUCAGCUUGUUGGUGUGGUAGUGGCUUACCAAGCCUACGACGGGUAGCCGGCCUGGGAGGGUUACCGGCCACAAGAGGACUAAGAGACGGACCAGACUCCUACGGGAGGCAGCAGUGGGGAGUAUUGCGCAAUAGGCGGAAGCCUGAUGCGGCAGCGCCGCGUGCGGGAUGACGGCCUUCGAGUGGUGAACCACUUUCGCCUGUGACGAGGCGUGAGUGACGGUAAUGGGUAAGAAAGCACCGGCUAACUACGUG
rnacentral:rRNA from 1 species